rnacentral:rRNA from 1 species
UCCGGUUGAUCCUGCCGGACCUGACUGCUAUCGGAUUGAUACUAAGCCAUGCGAGUCUUUGCAGUAAUGCAAGGCAUACGGCUCAGUAACACGUAGUCAACUUACCCUAUGGACGAGGAUAAUCUCGGGAAACUGAGCAUAAUACUCGAUAGAUCAUAAUGCCUGGAAUGGUUUAUGGUUGAAAUGAUUCGUCGCCAUAGGAUGGGACUGCGGCCUAUCAGCUUGUUGGUGAGGUAAUGGCCCACCAAGGCGAUUACAGGUACGGGCUCUGAGAGGAGAAGCCCGGAGAUGGGUACUGAGACAAGGACCCAGGCCCUAUGGGGCGCAGCAGGCGAGAAAACUUUGCAAUGUGCGAAAGCACGACAAGGUUAAUCCGAGUGAUUUCUGCUAAAGAAAUCUUUUGCAAGUCAUAAAACCACUAGUGAAUAAGGGGUGGGCAAGUUCUGGUGUCAGCCGCCGCGGUAAAACCAGCACCUCAAGUGGUCAGGAGGAUUAUUGGGCCUAAAGCAUCCGUAGCCGGCUCUGUAAGUUUUCGGUUAAAUCCAUGUGCUCAACGCAUGGGCUGCCGAAAAUACUGCAUAGCUAGGGAGUGGGAGAGGUAGACGGUACUCGGUAGGAAGGGGUAAAAUCCUUUGAUCUAUCGAUGACCACCUGUGGCGAAGGCGGUCUACCAGAACACGUUCGACGGUGAGGGAUGAAAGCUGGGGGAGCAAACCGGAUUAGAUACCCGGGUAGUCCCAGCUGUAAACGAUGCAGACUCGAUGAUGCAUUGGCAUAUAGCCAGUGCAGUGUCGCAGGGAAGCCGUUAAGUCUGCCGCCUGGGAAGUACGUACGCAAGUAUGAAACUUAAAGGAAUUGGCGGGGGAGCACCACAAGGGGUGAAGCCUGCGGUUCAAUUGGAUUCAACGCCGGG